rnacentral:rRNA from 1 species
AUACGUAGGUGGCAAGCGUUGUCCGGCAUUAUUGGGCGUAAAGCGCGCGCAGGUGGUUCCUUAAGUCUGAUGUGAAAGCCCCCGGCUCAACCGGGGAGGGUCAUUGGAAACUGGGGAACUUGAGUGCAGAAGAGGAUAGUGGAAUUCCAAGUGUAGCGGUGAAAUGCGUAGAGAUUUGGAGGAACACCAGUGGCGAAGGCGACUGUCUGGUCUGUAACUGACACUGAGGCGCGAAAGCGUGGGGAGCAAACAGGAUUAGAUACCCUGGUAGCCCACGCCGUAAACGAUGAGUGCUAAGUGUUGGGGGGUUUCCGCCCCUCAGUGCUGCAGCUAACGCAUUAAGCACUCCGCCUGGGGAGUACGGUCGCAAGACUGAAACUCAAAUGAAUUGACGGGG